CAAUAAAAUAAAACAUGAUUAUAACGUGUUCCAAAUUUACUAACAAAAAGAGGAAUAGAAAGAAGAAGAGGUAAAGGAAGAAAGGAUAACGAGGAUGAAGAGGUUUAUUACCUUUAAAGAAGAAGAGGUAAAGGAAGAAAGGAUAACGAGGAUGAAGAGGUUUAUUACCUUUAAAGAUUUUACAUCAUUUACAAUUAGAUGUCAGAAGAGAGAGAACAUAUGUGACUGGUUAAUUAAUUUCAAAAUGUUUUCUAAACUUAUUUCAUUGUAGAUAGAAUAUACAACACAACUUUAGUACUCGUAUACACACUAAACUUUAUGGGCAACAUUUACAGUCUUUUUUGUCUUACAUGCAUGUAACUACAUACAUAACUUUACAAUGCUUAAACACCUGCUUAUAAACACCUGCCUUUAAAAACAUGCUUAUAAACACCUGCCUUUAAACACCUGCUUAUAAACACCUGCUUAUAAACACCUGCCUUUAAACACAUGCUUAUAAACACCUGCCUUUAAACACCUGCUUAUAAACACCUGC